CAGAUUUCAGUGACGGUGUUCUGAUCACUCAGUGGCCAAAGUACAUAUCCAGUCGUUCAGGCUCCUCAGUUGAAAUGCACUGUUACCAGAAUGAUACAGACUAUAACUACAAAUACUGGUUCAGACAAAUAAAAGGUGAAGGACCAGUGCUUAUUGGGAGCUACAAUUUUAACUCUCCCUCUAAGGAGGAGGGUUUUGAGAAUGGCUUCAAUUUUUCAGGUACAGAGACAAAGAAAUGGACCCUGACGGUCGAUGUUAAGAAGGGGAUUGAUGCUGUGUAUCUGUGUGCUGCUAGUUUACACAGUGAAUAAACACCAAUAAAUUAUACAACAAAAACUCUUUGAAUAGCAGCCUGUAUCACACCUGACCUCAACCACAAAUAAAAUGAAGUCAUANCUUUACAGACAAGCCAGUAGAACUAAGAGAACAAAUGCAAAUUAUUGACAUUUCACUCCUCCCUUCUACAAAAAAAAGAAAGGUCUUGAUGAUGUCAUACAGUCAAUAGGAGGAGAUGUGACUAUUUUAAUGUGCAGAUUUGCCUCUCUCUGUCUUUGUUAUAGUUUUCUUCCUGCUCUCGUCACAUUAUAUUUGCUUUGCAUGAUCAGUUUUCAUAACCCUUAGAAGGAUGUUUAGAGCUGCAUAUGAACUGUGCAUAUUUUUCUUCUUUUACAUGGGGAAGGCGAAAUGUGUGCAUGUUCAACAGAAAAUUACAUCCUUAUUUGCAAAUGAAAAUAAUAAAACAGAGAUUAAAUGCACUCAUGAUGACAAUACCAUGAUAAAUAUGCUAUGGUAUCAGCAGAAGGAUACAGCCAUGGUUCUAAUCGGUUACAGAAUGAGUGAAGCUAUUUAUGAGGAUGGAUUUAUAGGCCGGUUUACACUGAAGAAAACAGAUACACUGAAUGGAUCUCUGGAAAUCUCUGAUCUCAGUCUAUCAGACUCUGCUGUUUAUUACUGUGCUGUCAGUUUGCACAGUGCCACAAACUAAAAUUACUGCUUAACUAAAACUCAAGCACACAGGAAACCAGAAAGUGGUAGAUAGGUUUCAUAUCUCUGCUUUGAUAUUCUUAUAUUCUUUAAAAUAGUUUUUUUUUUUCUUUCUCAAUGUUUUGACUUGAAGGUCCCCGGUUGGCCAACAUAAUAUUUGAAUAUUUGACCUAUGAGAUGCAAGCUGCUAGCAAACAACAGCAGAUAUUAGAAUGUUAAAUGAUAAGUGUUCACCUUAAAAGCAGCAAAGACAUAAUCUUUAUGUACGUGUUCUCAGCCAAAGCAACAAACUACAGAUGCCGUUAUGUCAAAAUCCAAAUUUUAGAGUAUUUGAUUGGUUCACAUUCACCCUACAUAAUUUAAUAUAGAUUUUUUUUUUGUAUUAAUUGAAAGCAAAGAAAUUAAGUUUAAAAGAGAAACAUAGCUUUGUUGUUUAGAUCACAAAUAAUGUGAUAAAUAAAAGUAAAUUUGAAAAUCUCGUAACCCCCCCCCCAUUUCAGUGCUUAAUAAAUGUAUUUUCAUUAGUCACAUGCAAAAAUGUUACAUAAUGUAGGUCCAUAUAUUAUUUACAACUUAACAUUUUUACAACUUCAUUUCACCAUAGACAAAAUCUAAUUUAGCUAUAUGAAAGUAGAAUUUUCACUUAAGAUCAAACUUUGCCAGGUAAUGUUGAACAGAAUGCCAACUUAAAUGUUUUUGUUCAUAAAAAGAAAUAUUGACUGGUUUUUGACUUUUUUUUCUUUUGCCAGGUUGAAUGAAAUGAAUGAUCGGGUGAUACACAGAAGAUAUUUUUACUUUCAACAACUCUUUGUAAGACGCAGCCAACAGAUAUACUGCCAUAUCGCACUGCUACUCGUGUGAUAUUGCUCAUUUAUAUCUAUUGAAAUGAAUUAAAUUCAUGCUGAAUUUCAUUUAAUUAAAAUUUAAAUUAUUUCUUAA
rnacentral:lncRNA from 1 species